rnacentral:lncRNA from 1 species
GAUAACUUACCACAAAAUAAAAUCAUCUUGAAGACAUGACAGAAUGAAAGCCAAAUGUCAGAAGUUAGAGAACAAAUAUUUAAUUUCUGCUUCUUAAUUUUCAUUAGCUGAACACUGCAUUGGAAGUGAAGAGGCAGCUGCUCUGAACUGUGGAUGUUCUGGAACAAGAUACAGAAACCUGUCACUUGCGUCAAUGUACAAACCCCUCUGGUUUCAGCAACAAAAGGCAGGUGUCAAUGCAAUGCAGAAGCUGAGGAAAGAGUUUUAUCUUUAGGAGCCUGGUCCAUCAGCUGCCCUCAGCCAAGCACUGCUGACUGAACACUGUGUGUGCAUGUGCAGCUGGGAAGAUCCACUGAUCAGUACAUCUGAUCCAAACCUUUUAAACUUUUUAAAGACACUUUCCUGAACAUUCCAAGGCAACCUAUUUUUGCACUGACAUUCUUCCAAAGAAGUUACUUUAGUGUGUUUCAUAUCCUG